GCUUGCUUCAAUUGCCGGCGACCGGCGCACGGGUGAGUAACGCGUAUCCCUUCUUCCGUACACUCGGGGAUAGCCUUUCGAAAGAAAGAUUCCUUCCUGAUGGUAUGAUGAGAUUGCAUGAUAGCAUCAUUAAAGAUUUAUUGGUGUACGAUGGGGAUGCGUUCCAUUAGGUAGUAGGCGGGGUAACGGCCCACCUAGCCUACGAUGGAUAGGGGUUCUGAGAGGAAGGUCCCCCACAUUGGAACUGAGACACGGUCCAAACUCCUACGGGAGGCAGCAGUGAGGAAUAUUGGUCAAUGGACGAGAGUCUGAACCAGCCAAGUAGCGUGAAGGAUGAAGGUCCUACGGAUUGUAAACUUCUUUUAUAAGGGAAUAAAACCUCCCACGUGUGGGAGCUUGUAUGUACCUUAUGAAUAAGCAUCGGCUAACUCCGUGCCAGCAGCCGCGGUAAUACGGAGGAUGCGAGCGUUAUCCGGAUUUAUUGGGUUUAAAGGGAGCGCAGACGGGUCGUUAAGUCAGCUGUGAAAGUUUGGGGCUCAACCUUAAAAUUGCAGUUGAUACUGGCGUCCUUGAGUGCGGUUGAGGUGUGCGGAAUUCGUGGUGUAGCGGUGAAAUGCUUAGAUAUCACGAAGAACUCCGAUUG
rnacentral:rRNA from 1 species